AUGUUGUGUACUUGCAUAAUUUAAUUUUAGCUUAUGUCAUAUUUUCUCGGAGAAGAAACAAUGACGGUAUAUGAGGAAUAAGCAUCAGCUAACCCUGUGUCAGCAGCUGCGGUAAGACAAAGGAUGCAAGAGUUAUCCAGAAUGAUUGGGCAUAAAGUGUCUGUAGGUAGAUUUUCAAGUCCGUCAUCAAAUCCCAGGGCUCAACCCUAGACAAGCGGUGGAAACUAUCAAGCUAGAGUAUGAUAGGGGUAGAGGGAAUUUUCGGUGGAGCAGUGAAAUGCAUUGACAUUAGAAAGAACACCAACGAAAAAAGCACUAUGAUGGGCCAACACUGACACUCAGAGACAAAAUCUAGGGGAGAAAAUGGGAUUAUAUACCCCAUUAGUCCUAGCUGUAAACGAUGGAUACUAAGGGUUGUUCGUAUCGACCCGCGCAGUGUUGUAGCUAACGCGUUAAGUAUCUUUCU
rfam:Picea glauca, whole genome shotgun sequence.